CACGUUCGGAUUGCAGUCUGCAACUCGAGUGCAUGAAGCUGGAAUCGCUAGUAAUCGCGGAUCAGAAUGCCGCGGUGAAUACGUUCCCGGGUCUUGUACACACCGCCCGUCACACCAUGGGAGCCGACAACGCCCGAAGUCAGUGACCUAACCGAGAGGGAGGAGCUGCCGAAGGCGGGGUUGGUAACUGGGGUAAAGUCGUAACAAGGUAAC
rnacentral:rRNA from 1 species